rnacentral:rRNA from 1 species
CCAGACUCCUACGGGAGGCAGCAGUGGGGGAUAUUGCACAAUGGGGGGAACCCUGAUGCAGCGACGCCGCGUGGGUGGAGAAGUAUUUCGGUAUGUAAAGCCCUAUCGGCAGGGAAGAAAUUGGACGGUACCUGACUAAGAAGCCCUGGCUAACUACGUGCCAGCAGCCGCGGUAAUACGUAGGGGGCAAGCGUUAUCCGGAUUUACUGGGUGUAAAGGGGGCGCAGACGGCGAUGCAAGCCAGGAGUGAAAGCCCGGGGCCCAACCCCGGGACUGCUCUUGGAACUGCGUGGCUGGAGUGCAGGAGGGGCAGGCGGAAUUCCUGGUGUAGCGGUGAAAUGCGUAGAUAUCAGGAGGAACACCGGUGGCGAAGGCGGCCUGCUGGACUGCAGCUGACGUUGAGGCUCGAAGGCGUGGGGAGCAAACAGGAUUAGAUACCCUCGUAAUC